GAUCCUACGGGUGGCUGCAGUGGGGAAUAUUGCACAAUGGGCGCAAGCCUGAUGCAGCGACGCCGCGUGAGGGAUGACGGCCUUCGGGUUGUAAACCUCUUUCGCCAGGGACGAAGCGUAAGUGACGGUACCUGGAGAAGAAGCACCGGCCAACUACGUGCCAGCAGCCGCGGUAAUACGUAGGGUGCGAGCGUUGUCCGGAAUUACUGGGCGUAAAGGGCUCGUAGGCGGUUUGUCGCGUCGUCUGUGAAAUUCUGCAACUCAAGUGCAGGCGUGCAGGCGAUACGGGCAGACUUGAGUACUACAGGGGAGACUGGAAUUCCUGGUGUAGCGGUGAAAUGCGCAGAUAUCAGGAGGAACACCGGUGGCGAAGGCGGGUCUCUGGGUAGUAACUGACGCUGAGGAGCGAAAGCGUGGGGAGCGAACAGGAUUAGAUACCCGGGUAGUCGGG
rnacentral:rRNA from 1 species